UAACGCAAUGCCGUGGGGCUACCCUGACACCCAUUACAGGCAGGACUAAAGCACCCCCCGCAGUGAUUACAACCAUUUUGAUAAGUUCGCCUAUUGUCCUUAAGUGACAAGUGGUAUCGUUGUAGAUCCAGUUAUGUCAAGAGGUGUCCUCUGAUAAAGAAACCGUUUGAGACUUUAAGCUCGCCGGAGAAGGCUCGCGGGGGGAGCGACAGACUGCUGCGUUAAAGAGGAGCACAGAUUGACAGUGACUUCCUGAAAGCGAAUCCCACAUCCGUGUUGUCCAAUGGACGGAGACGUGCGAGAUCAUGUGACCCGCUGACAUCACUGCAGCUGGCGGCCUGGGCUUGUAGGCGGAGCCGGGGACCGCGGCCUGUCCGCGGGCGACCUUUGACCUUCUGAAACGACACCCUGGUCCUGGAGGUCAGCCUCAGGAGACGACAAGACACACACUCUACUGUAGCAGGGACUGUUAGGAUUCUACUCAAGAGUCGGAGACAGGAGGAGAGGAGACACGAGAGGAGAGGAGGAGAGAGGAGAGGAUACAGGAGGAGGAGAGAGGAGAGGAGAC